rfam:Triticum aestivum genome assembly, contig: Triticum_aestivum_CS42_TGACv1_scaffold_593715_7BS
UUAGUACUCCCUCCGUCCAAAAAUACUUGUCCUAGAAAUGGUUGUAUCUAGACUUAUUUAUCCAUUUAUAGGACAAGUAUUUCCGGACGGAGGGAGUAAUAU